AUACUUAGCUAGCAGGGAAGGUACCAUGAUCACAAAGGUGGUUUUCCCAGAGCCAGGCUUAUUUAUUGAACUCUGGAUAUAGUGACCUCUAUUAUUUCCCCAAAUGUGGGAAACUCAGUUACAUAAUUUGUGGUAGUGGGGGACUGCAUUGGAGUUCUCUGCUA